AAAAAAAAAAUACGGGAAAAUUUCCCGAAUUUUUCAUUGUACUAAUGAACUCAAAAUCGUUCAAUUUUUUUUAUGUCAUGUUUUGAAACCCCGGACCUGCGCAGAAAUGUACAAUAUACUUCCUUUUUCCGGUCUCGUUUGUAUGAAACUUUGAGUAAAAUAUAUAUUUAUCAGUCUAGUAUAAAAUAGGAAGGAACGCGCAAUACUUAUUUCAUUUUUAAUAAUUCCUUGAUAUGAAAAAACGUUACCUAAUGAUAGCGUUUCUUGUUUACAUUGCAUAUGACGUCAUAAUUUGAAUAACGUCACAACUAAAAUCCCUAACAACAGAACCAAAAUCGGAAACGUUACUGUAUUUCCGUGUCUUUUUUUUUGGACAAAUAAUUGAGUUACAAAAAAAUAAUUCAUACAGACUUCGUCCCCAUUUACAGGUAAUGCCUGCCUCAUAUUAUGGGGACGGAGUCCCCAAUAACAGUAGAAAAUUCAAUAAAAAAAAAAAAAUACGGGAAAAUUUCCCGAAUUUUUCAUUGUACUAAUGAACUCAAAAUCGUUCAAAUUUUUUUUUGUCGUGUUUUGAAAUCCCGGACCUGCGCAAAAAUGUACAAUGUACUUCCUUUUUCCGGUCUCGUUUGUGUGAAACUUUGAGUAAAAUAUAUAUUUAUCAGUCUAGUAUAAAAUAGGAAGGAACGCGCAAUACCAAUUUCAUUUUUAAUAAUUCCUUGAUAUGAAAAAAACGUUACCUGAUGAUAGCGUUUCUUUGUUUACAUUGCAUAUGACGUCAUAAUUUAAAUAACGUCACAACUAAAUCCCUAACAACAGAA
rnacentral:lncRNA from 1 species